rnacentral:lncRNA from 1 species
KSYSRCCAMCMMCYYYSYUKYYYYMSSMSRYSGYRGCWGCUGCUKYKYUSCUCCUGUGCUGCYAAAGGCAYGCACCRCCGCUGCUCCGCCUUGAGGCCCACCACAGCCACRUGGGAGUGUGACGACUGCGCGGGCCUGGGCACUGCCUCCAGCGCACAGUCGGGGACGGCCAGCUCCAGCACCAGCAGCCAAGCAGCAUCGUCUCCCAGCUCCCAGGCUCCUGCGAGCAGCAGACGGUCAGGCCAGACGGGGCCAGAGCGAAGGGCAGGCCGCUCCCGGUUAAGUCGCCACUCACAACAUCCUUACAGCUGGCCCUGAAGAGGCAGCGCUGCCCCAGCCCAUGCGGGCUCCUUCUUCUCGGCAGUUCUGUGCAUCGGGCCUUGUGGCAGCCCCAAGGCAUGCCACCGGUCCCCAGCCCCUGCCAGAGGGAGCCCCGUGAGCCUGCUGCCUGCGCCCAGCCUGUGUCCACAGACCAGAUGCACUGGACAGGGGGACACUGCCUUCCCGCCACAGGCAACCACCCUGUGUCUGACUCUCAGUAAAGAGAACUGUAUUCUAGACCUGUGGCAAGAGCUGUGGCAUUAUUGGAGUUAUGAGUGAGACCUAAGGGUAAAAGUCAGCUUUGUCCGAGAGAGCAAAUUGCCCUAGAGCUGCAGUAUACACAGUGGGUCCCCAGGGCACGGAGGUCCUUAGUUCCUGGGGUGGCCCAGGAACUCACCAGCUGGUCUCUGCAUUGCUGAGACAAUUGGACCGACUGGUGGCAAUGCACCAACUGGAGACCAGGUGCCUGGCUGCAGAGGCUGAGAGAGGAGGGACUGUUUAGCCCGGAGAAGGGAAGGCUCCGGCUCUGGGGGGAAUCCCCUCAACGUUGAGAGGUAUCUGAUAGGAGGGUGUCAGGAAGACGGAGGCAGACUCUUCUCCGGGGUGCCCCGUGAGCGGACAAGAGGCAAUGGGCACAAACUGAAACACAGGAAGUUCCAUCUGAACAUGAGAAAAAACUUCUUCACUGUGACGGUGACAGAGCACCGGAACAGGUUGCCCAGAGAGGUUGUGGAGUCUCCUUCUCUGGACAUAUUCAAAACCCGCCUGGACGCGAUCCUGUACAACGUGCUCUAGGUGACCCUGCUUGAGCAGGGGGGUUGGACUUAGACAAUCUCCAGAGGUCCCUUCCAACCUCAACCUUUCUGUGAUUCUGUGAAAAUAACAGUCCCAUAACUACAGGCAAUUCCAGUAUUUUAUAUUCACUUCUAACGUCCUCUGAAAGGAUCAUAUCUAUAAUAUAAUAAAACACCUACAGACUMUAGUAGGACUGGGAUU